rnacentral:tmRNA from 1 species
GGGGGUGAUCGGUUUCGACGGUGGUCGUGCUUCCAGGAGAAGCGGGCCGAGAACGCAGGCUUGUCUCGUUAACGAUGCCUGCAAACCUAUAGGUGCCGAUUCCAAGCGCACCGACUUCGCCCUCGCCGCCUGAGCGAGGCUUCGAAGUCCGUCAGCCCAGGGUUGCUCUCGACCUGGUAGCUGGCGUCAUCUAGAGGGCCACUGCUUGUUGCGUCCGUCGUCGGCGUAACAGGGACUCUUUGACGACUGGGCCUGUCAGCAGCUUGUCUGCGUGAGUGCUGGGGCCGAGAAAAUCCGUAGCGGACUGCGCCCGGAGAAGUCCUGGAUCUGCGUCACCGGACCGGGGUUCGAUUCCCCGCACCUCCACUG